UUAAAGCCUAUGAAGAAGCAAAGUAUGUAAUUUGCAAAUAUAUUUCAGAGAGCAAGGUUAUAGCUGGAAGCCGUGCAUAUAUAAAUUACAGAAAUUUCACUUUGGAGGUUUCUUUUUGAAGAGAGCAAUCUUGUGUAGGAAAGAACGGUAGCAAACGUUAUAGCUGUAAUGAGGUUAAUUUUAUUAGAAGAGUUUAGUUGUAGAUAUUUUUGUAAGAAGCGUUAAUAAGAUGAUAAAUAUUUAUAAAUUCUACUAAGUUGUUAAUAAAAAUAGGUGGUACCACGGAUAUUAAAGCCAUUCGUCCUAUUA
rnacentral:ncRNA from 1 species